AAAAUGAUAAAUGAGACUUUUGGGUCUCGUGGCUGCUUCAAAUGAUAGGACUUUCACCCCAUUCUUCUUUCAACCCCUUUUUUUUGGGUAUGUCAUGAGAUUGAUGUUGGGACUUCUUCUAGGAGUCGGCUCGAUGAGGCAAAUGCAAUCAAGAGUUCAUGGUGAACUCGGUCAUGGCAUAUUCGCAUCUAUCAAAAAUAAAGAAAAGAUUAAGGCUCUGCGCUAGGCUAUUUGAGCUUAGUAUAAUUAAGCAUGCAUCGUAAUAAUCAGCAAAUGACAAUUAAAAAAUCAUAUUCAUGCUCAAGGCGUAAUUAUAGACUGGCAUACAACGUGAGAAAAUUUUAACAUUCAUUGUCACAUCCAGGUUCACACUUUGGAAAUAAAACUAAUAUUAACAAAGACUUCCUUACUGACCAAAAUAUAGGGGAAACAGAGCCUCCCAUAUAGCAUUUACCCAGAACAUAAGCAACGAAAGUUGAUGCAAUACAGUUUUAAACCAAAGAAAUCUAGUCAGUCAUUUUUUCAUAGCACUAAUGGACAAACAUUAAAUCCGGGUAUUAAUCCUUUUAAUACAGCUAGAGAAAAUCAAAUCCAAAAAGCAAAUCCCAAACUAGCUGAAGGCAGCAAUGAGGACAAAACGACAAGAAUAUUUUUAGCAAAAUCCUUUGCAUAUCGGAGCAACAAACCUAAGACAAAUGAGAGCCUUGUGCCAUGGGAAGUCGGAUUAUUCGAUCUAUGACAGUCUUUAUAGACAACAGUGAUCACUGAUAUCCCAUAAAACGUAGUCUUGCAAAACUUUAUAAGUUUUAGAUUGCAAAACCAAUGGCUAUAUAGAAAGCGAUACAAAUCAAUGCCCAAAGGGAAAAGAGUGACAGAGACCACGUAUAAUAAGAUUCAAAAUAAAAGACCUCCUAACACAAUAACACAACCACAUAUUCUUCCUAACUAAAAGAAACUUAUGUCCCUUAAGAUUUUUACAGCAAACAACCCAGAACAUCAGGUUUUUAGAAGCUUAUAUUUUCAGAGAUUGAGAUGAAGCAAACAACGUCGAAGGCUUAAACGGGAUGGUAUGUUACCUUUUAAGGAGCAGCAAACGGGAUGAUGAGCUAUCAGUAAAACAUCUCGCAACGUCAACCACCAACAGACAGACUUUCGACUAAAAUUUCAACCUAAAUUUAGAACUCCAGAAUUUUCCUUCAGUUUUUCCGAAAUUUCUCUCGACCUUUCAAACCCAAAAAUCUCGAACCCUAAAAGCAGUGACUUCGAAGAAGCCCCCACCAAAUUUUCAACAUGAAAAUUUCUUCCUAAUUUCCCUCAAAAUUUUUUUUCUUCAAAGCCCCUUUCUGCCUCUGCAUUUUCCAACCUCUCAAACAAAGAAUGAAAGGCCUCUUAAAUAGAAGAUGAACAGGGGUAUUUUAGGGCUUUAAGGAAGAGAUAUUUUUUGAAUAUAUCCAUUUUUGGAUAAGGUUUUCUCAUCCAAGAUUGGUACUGAUUUUGGAGUUUUUCUCUAAUAAUCCAAAAUAAACAGCCAAUAAGGGAUGAGUAAUCAAAAUUCCCUCCUGAACCAAUAAAAAAUCGCCAAGGAUGUACGAAUACGUACCAUUUGUACUGCGAUUUACGGGAUUAAGACUUGGAGGGACACCUAGGCAUGUUCUAUACGAUUCUCGGACUUUCCACAGUAUAAAACCAUAAGCUACGCACGUGAGGGGUACGAUGGAGGUGAAUGAAAGGGGAAAUGAAGGGCUCAUCGGGUCGUUGUUGGUUUGAAUCAGGUUAGGGUUUGGUUUUUGAUGUUGAGAUUGUUGGUUGAAGCUGGUGCGUAUGGUUGGUGUUCGUUGUUUGUUGAUAUUGAAGAAGGUAUAAGGUGGGCCGGGUUGGGUUAUUUUUGGUGUUGGGCUGGUGGUUUUAGUGUUAGGCCCGUUUAAUUAAAAAGGGAGAAAUGAGCUGCUAUUUGAAGAAAAUAUGAGAUGGGCCCAAGUGUUUGGCAAAAUUGGGUUUAAAAUUGGGAUGAAUAGUUUAGAAAAAUAGUUUCAAUUAACAUUUAACCCAUUCUAAUUAAAUUUUGAUCAAAUUAAAGGCUAAUUGGCCAAAUGUAUUGCGAUUGUGGCCAAUUUAAUUUCAAUUUAUGAUCAAAUUUAAUAGAUUGAUUAAAUUGAAUUAAAAUUAAAUACGAAUUAAUACUUCUUUUAAUCCCGAGUUUCUUGAUUUAAUAAAACCAAACAAGUAUUUCUCCAAAUAGAUUAUUUGUGAGAACAAAUUAUAUUUAAAUCAAGAUUUAAUUAUUUAAAUUUUUUUUCUAAAUAAUCCUUAAUUUAAAGUCCAAUUUUGAUGAAAAUGUUCAUUUAAAUGACAUCAUUUAUACAACCUCGUAUAUACAAAUACGAAAAAAUAUAUAAUUAUCACUUAAAUGACAAAUUUAGCCCAAAUACCUAUUUUAAAAUGCAUUUAUUUGGAAAAAAUAAUUGAUGUGAUUUUAUUUGAAAAUCGAAGAAACUCGAGAUUAAACGUAGUUGUGGAGGGCAAAAAUUAGGUGUCAACAGGGUUAACAGUUUACCCAAUAAGAAAAUUGAGUAAUUCACCCCCGCACCGAUAAAUCGUUAACUAUAAAAUUUUAAUCUAUUUUCCAGCCAUUAAUCCGAUAACCCAAUACCAAUAAGCCAAUAAGUCAAUUUUGCAGUUGACUUAUCAGUUGUGGUUCGAUUUUGAACAACCCUAGAUUUCGUUGGAGUUUGAUCGAAAGCAAUGGUGAAUAUGAGACAAUGGUGGUGGGUUUUACAAAUGAAGGAGAUGAAUGGUGUUAAUGGAGAUUGUCUAUGUUGUUGCUUCCGUGGGCUAUUUUUUAUUGUUCUAAUUAUUUUUAUUGCUUGUUUAGUGAUGUAUCCGAUGAUUUGGGGAUAUGAAUUACAAUUCGAAAUUUUUAUAAUUAUUUUAAGGGGUUGGAAUUUUAGAUUACAAUGGUAAGUUAUGGUGUGGUUUUAUGUAAUUUUUCCAAUUCUGUUUCGUUUGAUACACAAUAUAAAAUGAGAUAUUCCAUGGUUAAGUUUGGUAUUGUUGAGUUCUUAGUUUUGCUGAUGUGACAAACUCUACGUGGAACUUGUUUCCUAAAGAUCUUGUGAUGACUAAAGCUGCUACUACAUAGCGAACAUGUUGGGCUUACCUAUCACUAUUACAGUCAACCCCACAACUGGAUGAAAGUACAAAAAUUGGUGAAAAGUGUUGCCACCUUUUUGUCUUAGCCAAUGGGAUUGUUUCUAGGUUUUCUUAUGUCAUACUAUAUAUAACUUAUUCUCUUCAACAAGAAAACCUAAUGUUACCAUAUACAACAAAAUAUCUCUCUGAAGAUGAAAUCAAAGACCCCUUUUGCAACAGGGAACUAAUAGACCAUCAAGUUGUAUUUUAUUUUCUAGUUGUAUUUGAAUCUUUGUAAUGUGCUCUUAAACGCUUGCCUACUGUUGCUUAUGAUUGUUAAUAGGUUUUGUGGUGUAAACCUCAGUCCUUUAUAAUCAUCUAGAUUUAGGUGAUUCUUUAAGCUAGAGUUAGCUUAUUGUCAAGUUAGAGUUAGCUGAAGCUUGUGGCAGUAGAAUUAUUGCUUGUGCUAUAAUAGAGUUAUUGCUAGGAGACAAAGGAUUAGGAGGUUAAUCCUUAGAGUUUGUAUUCAACUUUGCUUAUAUAUAGUGGAGCAUAGAAAUUCUAGAGUCAGGUCAUGAUUUUUCUCCCUUGAGCAAGGAGUUUCCACGUAAAAAUUGCUUUGCCUAAUUUUUACUCUUUCCAUGCUCUUUAUUGUUUAGUAUUCUCCUAGUUUUUGUUAGAUGAGUUAUUUGGGAACAGGUCCCAAAGUUGAGGAGCAACCCAAUGCAACACUUCAUAUGGUAUCAGAGCAAGGUUUUUCUAAGAAAGGGUAACACCUUGGAAGGAUCUUGCGUAUGACUAUUCCUGCUAAUCUUAAAGAAAGCCAAUCUACUAUCAAACCUCCUAGAUUUAAUGGAGAACAUUAUGGAUGGUGGAAAACCAAGAUGCAUGAUUAUAUCAUGGAUGAGGACUUUAAGUUAUAGGAUGUAAUUGAGGAUGAUCCCUUUGUUCCUCCAAGGGCAGUAAAGGUUGGAGCUGUGAACUCGCAAGUCCCCAAGACAAAGAGGGAAUAUGAUAAUACUGACAGGAAAAGAGUUGAGAAAAAGUACAAAGCAAAGAAGUUGCUUGUCUGUGGUAUUGGUUUAGAUGAAUACAACAGGAUCUUUGCCUGUGAAACUGCAAAAGAGACCUAAGAUUAUCUCAAAACUGCUCAUGAAAGAACCAGUCAGGUGAAGGAAUCAAAAGUGGACAUGCUGACCUCCCAAUAUAAAACCUUCACUAUGAAAAAAAAGAGUCAAUCCAAGAAAUACACACCAGGUUUACUGCAGUGACUAAUGAGCUUCAUUUUCUAGGUGAGGAUAUUCCAAGCUCCAAGCAAGUUAGAAAAGUUUUAAGUAUCCUUCCUAAUAUAUGGAAAAGCAAGGUUAAUGCAAUCACUAAGGCUAGAAAUCUUAAUACAAUGACUAUAAAUGAGCUUAUUGGCAAUUUCAAAGCCUAUGAGAUGCUGAAAAAUUUGGGAAGUCAAAGGAGGAACCUAAGGUGGAAAAAAAUCUUGGUCUGAAGGCCACAAAAGAAACUCACAAAGCUGAAUAUGAAUAAACUUGUUAUAUUGCUAAUGGGUACUCAAAGCCUUGAGGAAAUAUGAGGCUUUGCCUAGAAGAGGUGAAUCUAGAAAGAACAUCAAUAAGGGUAAAACGAAUGACACCUAUCACAAUUGUGGCAAAUUGGGUCAUUACAUUAAAGAUUGUCCAAUGCACAAAGUAGAGUACCAGAAAUAUGUCAAUCAAGUUGUUGAGAAAGAAAGAGGCAAAGACCGGGGCCCUGUGAAGUAUAACAACAAAUCUGAAGCUGACAAGGUUGCAAAUCAAGUGUUGGUAGCCUGGGGGAACUCUUCAAGUGACUCAAAUAAAUUAGAGCAAGGAGAAGAUGUCUCCAUUAUAGUGAUGAAAGAUGAAGUCCAAGUUUUUGAUUCACUUUUUGCUCUGAUAGUAGAUACUGAUGAUUAUGAAGAUAAACCUGUGACUUUCCUUGACAUCAAAGAAAAUAAGAAAAAUUAUUCCCUUAGUACGUUGACAUCUCUUGUCUCUGUGCUGAUUGAUUCUGUGAAUGAGAUUUAUAAAGACAAAGGAAAUUUGAAGAAAUCUCUAGAAAAAUGUGAGGAAGAAGUAAUUGAGUUGAGUGUCUAUAUGGCUACACUCAUCAAUGAAAAGGCAAAGUGUGAGAAAGAAAUGGUUGAAUUGAAUGUGCAAGUGGCUGAGCAUCAAGAAACUUGAAAAAAUCUAUCUUGUGAUAAUGAUCUUUUGAGUCAAAAGUUAGGUCAAAUCUCUAAGCAGGAUUCUAAGGGAAAAGGUGAAGGAAGCAGGAUACAGUUUCAGCUGGAAGAAGAAUUGACUGAAGCCAAGGCUAAUAUGAAUGCUUCACUUAAAAGAAACUCAAAGCUUGAGAGGGAACUAGCCUGGGUGAAGACUGAUCUUGUAAAGGCCCUCAAAUGGACUACAUUUUCACAAGUUCUGACUACCCUCACCAACCUAGGAUCUAAUAGAAGGAAAGGUUUAGGUUAUUACAGUUAAGCUACCACCUCUAACUCCUUCAUCAAGCCAGUAAAUAAGAAGGAUAAUCUAAUAUGCACUUAUUGUAUGAGGGAUAGUCACACAAAAGGAAUGCAUUAUUCCAAAGCAACAGUUCAGAGAGGGAUGAGAAAUCUCACUGAAUCAAGAGAAAAGAAAGAGAGAUUGCCUAGCUGUACAAGGAAGAAGUUGAUAUUUCCUCUAUCAACGUACUGGGAACUCAGACUUAAAUAGGUUUUCAAGGCUAACAACUGAUGAAUAAUGCAGGGCAAAGUAUAAGGAAGCAACCAACAUAAGGAUCUUGAUGAUGGCUGCUUAGAGCACAUGAUUGAAUAUCUGAAGAUCACCUCUUGUUGAAGGCCCAUAAUAGAGGCAAUGUCUUCUUGGUGAUGGAUUUUAAGAAUUAGAGUCUGUUGAUACUUGUGAUGCUGUGUACCUAGUUGGUCAAAAAAUGUCCUCAUAAUACUGGAGGACAUAUUCUUGGUAGGUUCUUAAUAAAAGUCGGUAGGGAACUGGUUGAGUGAUAUAAUAUGGGGUGGAGUUGAUGAGAUCCAGGUGGAUACAGAUGACUCUUAUGAUCCUUCAUACGUGACUAUGAUUUGGUAAGCAGGUAUCCUGGUUAGAUAAUGUUCUACAUGUCUAAUUUAGUAUCAUAUCAUAUGCAGAUAUACACUUAUGGUAAGGAGAAGAACAUAUAAAAUAGGAGGUGAGAUAGCACAAGAUGAUUAAGUUCAAAAAAUUGUUUAGGGACCAGGUCCCUAAUCAAGUUAGGAUCAUUUACUAUUCCUAAAUAGUGACUGUUUUAAAUGUUUAGUGAUUGUGCCACGUUACUCUCCCAACUCUUCUAAAAAGCUGUUACAUGUACUUUAAGUCCAAAAGACGAGUCCAUCUGAUCGGACACAUCUCAUCAGACACACCUAAUCGAUUAAUCUCAACCAUUCUCUCAUACCCUAUUUAAUGUCUAAAAUCAAAUAUUUUUUCUCAUUUUGAAAAUCUUCUCUCCUGCAACCUCAUCAAUUUCCAAACCAUUUCAAAAGAAUUCUUUUUUAGUAGGAUUUACGCACUUUUGAUAUUCACAAACAUAUUUUGAUUUCAAGAUGUGAUCUUGGGAUUCUCUUGUAUUAACUUCAGUUGAUUAAUUCAGUUAUGAUUGUGGUUUUUUAUACUUCUUAUUAUUGUGAUUUCAUAUAUGCUUUCAAUCAUGAACUUUGUUGAUUUAUUCAUAAGCAUGAGCGGCUAGAAACCCAUAGUUGGGGUUGUGGAAACCCUAGCAGAUUGAUGAAGUAAGGGAAGUGUUAUUGUUGUUUUAAACCGAUACCCAUGCAUGUAUUGUUUUAUCUUCAAUAUAAUAGUUCUCUAAAUAGGUGCACACGUUAGAAUUUCGCCUAGAUUAUUGCUACUUACUCCAAAAGAGUAGUAGUAGCUAGGAAAUGAUAAUGACAACAGUAAUUUGGAGUUUAGCUAUCGAUACACGCUUCUAGGGUUUAUCUUUGAAAGAUGGUUAGAUUUCAUCUAAUAACUAGAGACUCAAAAUGUAAUAGUUAACUGGGAUCAAGAUAAGGGUUAGUAAGGCAACAUCCUGAGACUCAAAAGGUAAAAGGUAAGAUCCUUCUACUCGUCCAAAAGACUGUAGAAGGUACAUAAAUUAUCAAUUCUGCAUGCAAGUUAUUGGGUUGGUUUAUCAUAGCAUUAUAAUUCUACGGAGUAGAGAAGCUAGGGGAAACACAACCUUAGUGUUCACCUACGACUGAUUACAACCAAAGUUGAUAUUUGCCACUUGUCUGAUAUUUCUAUUCAACCUCUCCACGUAUACUCUUGGAAUUCAACCCCAACCUUUAUUUGUUUACUAUAUUUGGCAACAGUCGCAUCAUCUUCUAAGAGGAGGUGUAGCUUGAACGUUACUGGUGGUGUUUACUCUUGCUCAAUAGACGUAACUUGUUGUUUGAAAAUCCUUUGGAUAAGUUGUGUCUCUAAAGCAAGGGUUGUAGAACAUUUCAUAAAUCAAAAUAUAAUAUGGUAGUGUCAACUCUUGCCCGUGGGACAUAACUUGUUGCUUGAAUGUUUUUGUGCUAAGUCUUGCCUCUAAGGUAGGAGUUAUAGAAUAUCUCAUAAAUCAAAACACAAUUUAGUAGUGUCAACUCUUACUAAUGGGACGUAAUUUGUUCUUUGAAAGUCCCAAGUCUUGCCUCUAAGGCAAGAUUUAUAGAACAUUAAUUUGUUCUUUGAAAUUCCCAAGUCUUGCCUCUAAGACAAGAUUUAUAGAACAUAUCAUAAAUCAAGAUAUAAUGUGAUGGUGUCAACUCUUACCCAUGAGACGUAACUUGUUGUUUGGAAGGAAUCAAAGAAACGAAAAAUAAAAUAAAAAUAACAAAGUUGUGGAAAAAAAUAUUAAAAAAUAAAAAUAGAAAUCAAAGAAAAUAAAAAGAAAAAGGAGAAAAAAUAAAUAGAAGUCUCAACUACAACUUAACUCUUAGCUAUUUUCUACUUCACUAACAAGUCCGAAAUUACACUAUGCUUAUAUGUACAAGUGCUCUCUGAACCAUGUUCUCUAUCCAACCCCUGUCUUUACAUGUUCUCUUCUUCGUUAGAAUCUCCAAAAUUCUGAUUUUUCCUUUCUCCAUCACCUGUUUCAGCAAGAACUUUGGUUGUUGUACUUUAACAUUCCGUAGGGCAUCAUUUCUCGCUCUCCGGAUGUUAUAGAUCAUCAUUGUCGUUAUUACCCAUAUAAAGGCUCUACUGACUCUCCCUUUUGCCAUUCAUGCAAGCCUUGUCCAGAUUUUUAGUACGUCUCUCCUAAUAAUAUGAUUUGUAACCAGUCAAGAAGCCCAUUAAACAAGCAUGGGAGAAUUUACAUUCAAAAAAUAAGUGUUUUCUUGUCUCUGGAGCACUCCCACGUAGAAGACAUAGGUCACUUUGACUCAUCUAUAUCUUCCUAAGUCUAUCCAUAGUAUGACUAUUAUGCAUCAUAAUCCAUCAUAUAAAAUUGUGUUUAGGAACAUUAACCGUACUCCAAAUUUCUCUCCAAUGUGGCCAUAGCACACUUUCACCUCAUCUCCACAUAUAGCGAUUAUGAAUAGUAUAAUUCCCUAUUGGUGUGAGCCAAUGAUUUUGUACGUAACUAGAAGCAAAUUCCUUCUUUAUUUCAUUGAUUGUCUUCCAAUACCAACUUGAUGCUGCCACCACUCUUUCNNNNNNNNNNNNNNNNNNNNNNNNNNNNNNNNNNNNNNNNNNNNNNNNNNNNNNNNNNNNNNNNNNNNNNNNNNNNNNNNNNNNNNNNNNNNNNNNNNNNNNNNNNNNNNNNNNNNNNNNNNNNNNNNNNNNNNNNNNNNNNNNNNNNNNNNNNNNNNNUCUUUCCCUUUUAAAUAUUUGUGGUUCGCCCAUUUAGCCCACAGGUUAUCUUCUUUUUGAGCAAUCUUUCAUAUGUACUUUGUAAUAGUAGCUGCAUUCCAGCAAACAGUAUUCAUGAUGCCUAAACCCUACCUUUUUUUAGUCAGCAAACCAAGUCUCAUGUGAUAACUGGAUCUUUAGUGUUUGCUCUUGUCCACUCCAUAGAAAGUUUCUACAUAUUGUAAUAUUUUUUCAUAACUCUCCUUGUUAUAAUAAGAAUCUAUGCCCAAUAAGAGUGGAUAUGCAGUAGAACUGAGUUAACAAGUUGCACCCACCGUGCAUAUGAUAAGUGUCUAGUGCCCCGUGCUUUAGUUCUAUAUGAAAUAUUCUCAACUAGCAUCUUGCAAUCAAUAACGAAAAUCUUUUUUGAAGAGAUUGGAAUUUCGAGGUACUGGGCAUCAAUCUUUUUACAUAUCUUGUAAGCUCACAGACAUCAUUUUCUUUCUUUUUCUCCUUGUUGGUAGUGUAUAUGUUUGACUUACUUGCAUUGGUUGACAAGCCUGACGUAUUUGAAAACGUCAACAAGACUCUUAACAUUAGCAUAACUGAUCUGAAGUUGCCUUUGUUAAAAUCAACAUAUCAUUCGCAAAACAUAGGUGGUCUAGUCUCAUGGCUUGGCAUUUGGUAUGGAAGCUAAAGCCUGUAAAAUCAACUACUAUAUUCAUGGUUCUUGUGAAAUAUUUCAUAUAUAUAACAUGAAUAAUAGAGGUGAAGGAAAUAACCAUGAAUUUCUCCAUUUAUGGCUAUAGAGUAUUGUGGUGUAGUUAUGCAUUCCAUCACCCAUUUAGUGUAUAUAUGGAAAGUCAGCCUAUAAAUCAUCUCUUCCACAAAUUCCCACUCUAGUGAAUCAUACGUUUUCUUCAAGUCUAUCUUGAUUAAGAAACUACUACUCGUAUUCUUUCAAUUGUACAAUCUCAUUAGGUCUUGGAAAAUAAGUAUAUUUUGGACAAAUGUAUUCCCAUUACAAAAGCACUCUAGUAAUCUGAGACAAUAUUUAGCAGGAUCCUUUUUAAUCUGGUGCAUAACAUUUUAGAAAUUAUUUUGUAUAUUCUAUUACGACAUGAUAUGGGCCUAUAAUCACCAAUAUGAUCUGGAUCAUAAGCCUUUGGGAUCAAGGUAAUAAUAGUGUCGUUCAGUCGCUUGAGCAUUUUCUUAUUAUCAAUAAAUUCUUGGACACCAGCAACCACAUCCGUUCCCACUACAUUCCAAGCAUCUUUAUAGAAUUAACUCCUAAACCCAUCCAGGCUAGGGGAUUUAUUCUCGUCAAUAGCCCAUAAAGUGGUUUUAACCUCUACCUCAGUAAAGUCCAUCCAGUUGACUCCUCUGCUUUACAGUCACCAUCGCCCCUUUUUGAUGACUAUCUUGUUUACACGUUCUCUACCCCUAGCAUUGGAGCCUAGUAAUUCUUUGUAGUACAUAAUAAAUCCAUGUGCUAUGUCUUGUAGAUAGUUUGUUGUUGCCCCUCUUUGUUCUUGACACUGAAAAUUCUUCUUGUGCUCCUUCUAGAUUUCACCAUGCUGUGGAAAAUUUUUGUGUUCAUAUCCCCUUCAUAGAUCCAUUUCACCUUGCAUUUUUGCCUCAUGAAUUGAUCUCUUGAUUUUUUGCAUAGUUUAUAGUGGCCUGCCAUUUUGCACUCUUCAUCAACAAAAACCGUAUUCAUAGGAUCAACUUGAAUCUUAGUCUGAAAAGAAAGCAAUAAUUCAAGUGUCUGCUCAGCUUGCUGUUGGACAUUGCUGAACCUCUCUUUAUUUAGGUUGGUAAACACUUUUUCGUAGCUUGUUUAUUUUCCUCACUAAUUGAUAUAUUUUCCUUUCUAUUAUAACAGUCUCCGAACUUUGAGAAAUUCUCUCCUUCAAAGUUGAUAUAAGGCUUCACAUGUUGAAAUAUCUGAACCUUUUCUUCCUUGGACCUCAAGAUUUAUCCUAAUGUAUAAUAGCCGGACAAUGAUCAAAUAACCCCACAUUCAAAAAGUGUGUCUCAGCUGCUGGCAUGUGCAAUUGCCAAUAGGUAUUAACCAAGAUUACUAAAAACUCUAUUAUUACCACUCUGUUUGUUGCUCUCUGUGUAGUAAGCUCCAGAAGACUUCAUAUCGUACAAACCACAUCCCUCUAUGCAUUGCUUCAACACCUUUAUUUCUACAAAAGUGACACAGUUACCUACCCACUCCUCCCUACUAAGAACACAAUUAAAUCACCCAUCACUAUCGAGGCUCCCUCAAUAUGCCCACUCAGUGUAUUAAUGUCCUUCCAACGGUCUCUCCUUAAUGCUGGAUCAUUAAAACCAUACACCAAAGUAAUGAAAAAUUUUCUUCAGUCUCUUCUAUUUUGGACUUCAGCAUGUAUAAAUUGAGUUGUGCUCAUAUUCACAUCAAUAGUGUAUAUUUGAGUAUUCCAUACUAUCCAAAUUCUUUCUCCUGGAUGAGCUACUAGAUUAGUUAUAUGGGAUACUCUAUGAGCUUUGGCUUUCUUAACCUUUGUCUCCAAGAGUCCAAAUAAGAUGACAUUAGAAGUCUGCAUAAAAAUAUGCAUUACCUUCUAUUUAUCAAUCUUAUUUAGAUUCCUUACAUUCAAAACCAAUCUUAUCCAUUGGGGAUGGGUAUAUCAUUUCCCCCUAAACUUCCAAGUACCGAGCUACUAGUUCCCAUCAUUUCUUACAUUAAUUUCCCCUACCCCUUUGUUUGGACUUGUUGUUGCUCAGAAUGUAACACUGUUAAAGUGUUACUGAUAACUGUGUCGGUGUCUUGAGGCUGAUAGUCUUGCAUUCUCUUAUUCACCACUCCUUUUGCGUUAUUGCACUCCAUGUUUCCUUUUUCUGUUGGCUUUUAGUUCUGAUCUUCUAGAACCAUUUCCUAUUUAUCCCUUGUAUUUUGAUGCUCUUGAGUUGGCACAUCUUUGCCCUGUCCUCUACACUCCACAAUUUUAUGCACAAUUUUUUUUGUAUUUUGUGCAAAGGACUGGCUUUCAUUCAUACUCCACUUUUUGGGACACAAUCUUUCCUACUUUAUUUUAAAACAUCACACCUGAAGGAUAGGCCUGGUUUAGCGGCAUUGUUGAAAGUAUUCUAGCAUAGGUCAAUCUCUCCUUGUUGGUUAUUGCUCUAUCUACCCUGAGGAAACUCCCUAUCAAGCUAGCAAUCUUGGUUAGAGCGGCCUUUCCCCAGUACUUCACAUCCAGACCUACAAGUCUAACCCAUACUGGUACUUUGUCCACGAUCUUUUUUGUUACUUUUAUAUCGGGUUUCUAUUACUUCAGCAUUAUAGGUUUCCUGUCAAACAUGAAUAUACCAUCUUCCAUCACUUUUUUUUCAAUAUUCCACAGAGUUAAAACUAACCAGGAAAACACCUCUCUUAACUUGUGCCACCUUAUCAAUACCUUUGUCCUUCCAUAUCCUUUUAAAGAAUCCUUCCAUAAUAGCUUGUGGUGGAUUUGAUCCCAAAACGUAGCAGAUUACCGCAGUUCUUUGGUGAUCAAUUUCAUCUUGGAUAUCAUCCACAUGGUGAUUUUGACACUCCCUGGGGCAUUUUGCCACUCAUGUGGUGUACCUUUUGCCUCCGAGGUUGCAAACCUCCCAUGUUCGACCAUAUUAGACAGUUCUAGCCCAUUCGAACUCGAAGGACUUCGCACUACAUCACUCUAUUUAUUUUUCAAAUUUGACUUGGGGUUUCGAAGCUGAGUUGUUUGUAUUGCAAUUUCCUUCUCCAGUUGGUCCACCCACGAUGAAGAGGCGGUCGUUGGUGUAGAGUUUCCAUUUUAGAGUUCUGAGCUUGCCAUAGUCUGAUUCGGACUUGGAUUCAGAUUCAAUGGUACAAUUCCCUGUAACAAAUUCGCAUUCCUCAUCUUCUUUGCAUUCGCAGUUUUGGGAAUUCUUUGAUUGUUCACUCAUAUGUCUCGAUUUACCCCUUGGAUCUAAUUUCCCCUCCCCCCUCCUUCCCCGGAGUUUCGACUUCCUUGCCAUUUCAGCAUGAGCUGAAAGGAACCCUCAUCCUAGUGAGAGAGAAAGUUGUUUUAUUAAUAUCGAACUCACAAUUCAUUUGUAUAGUUUAUUCAAUAAAAAUAUUCAGUAGGUGUUUUGGCAAAGAAAAAAAAAUAAUAUUAGAAUUGUAGUUGGAGUUAUGUUUGACCAUAAAUAGCUAUUCAUAAUUAUAAAUAGAUAUACUUGUUCCGGUAGCUUUGAUGUUUC
rnacentral:lncRNA from 1 species